rnacentral:rRNA from 1 species
AGCAGCCGCGGUAAUUCCAGCUCCAAUAGCGUAUAUUAAAGUUGUUGCAGUUAAAAAGCUCGUAGUUGAAUUUCGGGGUCAAUAAGUUGGUCAUGCCAAUGGUAUGUACUGGCUUUAUUGAUUCCUACCUCUUGACGAACUGUGAUGCCAUUAAUUUGGUGUUGCAAGGAAUCAGGACUGUUACCUUGAAAAAAUUAGAGUGUUUAAAGCAAGCUUACGCUUGAAUACAUUAGCAUGGAAUAAUGAAAUAGGACGUUUGAUCCUAUUUUGUUGGUUUCUAGGAUCGACGUAAUGAUUAAUAGGGAUAGUUGGGGGCAUUAGUAUUCAAUUGUCAGAGGUGAAAUUCUUGGAUUUAUUGAAGACUAACUACUGCGAAAGCAUUUGCCAAGGAUGUUUUCAUUAAUCAAGAACGAAAGUUAGGGGAUCGAAGACGAUCAGAUACCGUCGUAGUCUUAACCAUAAACUAUGCCGACUAGGGAUCGGAUGAUGUUAAUUUUUUAAUGACUCA